rnacentral:rRNA from 1 species
GACGAACGCUGGCGGCGUGCUUAACACAUGCAAGUCGAGCGGUAAGGCCCUUUCGGGGGUACACGAGCGGCGAACGGGUGAGUAACACGUGGGUGACCUGCCCUCAGCUCUGGGAUAAGCCUGGGAAACUGGGUCUAAUACCGGAUAUGACUCCAUGACGCAUGUUGUGGGGUGGAAAGCCUUGUGCGGCUGAGGAUGGGCUCGCGGCCUAUCAGCUUGUUGGUGGGGUGAUGGCCUACCAAGGCGACGACGGGUAGCCGGCCUGAGAGGGCGACCGGCCACACUGGGACUGAGACACGGCCCAGACUCCUACGGGAGGCAGCAGUGGGGAAUCUUGCGCAAUGGGCGAAAGCCUGACGCAGCGACGCCGCGUGAGGGAUGACGGCCU